GGAUCAUUGGAUGCAACCAUGAGAACCUUUUGAUACAUAACACCAUUGUUGAUCCUCUUGUAUGGGCGCACUGCAUGCAUGUUUUGGAGAGAGGCUGGGGUUGGAAGAUAUUCUGUGUUAUUUUAGUAUCAGAGUAAAUUUAUGGUUGCUAUCCACAUUCAUUGCACUUGGUUUGCUUGAAUUUUUUUGGCUUGAGAUCAAUCUCACUGCCUAAGUAGUGGUUGGUGCAACUUGCCACUUCAUUAGCAUACUGUUACCCACUUACUGUGACAUAUUAUGGCAGUAGGGCUGUAAUCAAUGACAGGUAACUUACCCAGUAAUAGUUACACUGUCUUAUUUAAAAGCUCGCCCCAUUCUUGGUGUCUCAGCCAGUAUGCUGACACAUUAUAUUCACUAUUGUGUUUUUGUAACUUCUAAGAAUUUACAAUGUAUGUUUUAAUCAGUUUCUUUGACAUAUAAGCUCAGUAUUUUAUAGGCUUUUAAUUUGAUUUUGUUAAGAAUUUUGAGAACUAAAGAAUAAGAAAGAAAGAAAGAAAGAA
rnacentral:misc_RNA from 1 species